AGUAAACAAAUACAUAAUUGUAACUGGGGGUGGGCAAAAUACCCGACCCGACCCGAUCACACCCGAACCGACCCGAAAAAUUUCAGGUUCAAAUCGGAUCGGGUUAUAAAAGAAACCCGAUCGGGUUGUGAUUGGAUCGGGUUUUGUGUAUGUAUUUACCCGAUCCGAUCUGAAAACCAGAUCGGGUUGCUUUAAAAAAAGAACUAAAUCCAAACACACGCACGCUACACACACAAAUCACAUAUUCACAUUUCACAAUACAUACACAAUAACACAAACACAAGUCGGGCACACACACAGAAACGAUUACAAACACACACAAUAACACAUUAACAACAGCACACGCAGCAGUAACAGCCCACUGCCAAUGACAGGCGACGUACACGGCCACUCACCCACCACCCACAGCCUCCCUCACUCGCAGCCCACUGCCGACAGCCAACCCCCAUUCUCCCCCAAACAAACGAAACAUAAACACACACACAACCGAAGCUGACGCUAACCGAAGGCGAGAGCCAAUGCCAGACGCAACAACCGUCGAGAUCCGACGCCAACCGAAGCUGCUCCGCGAGGAUCGUGACCCGAUUUGCCGAUCUACGGCUACGAAGUACCAGAUCUGAUGUGCCACCUCCGUGCCUUUAAUCCUCCACCAUCGCCCAAUCCAAUUCAACGUCUAUUCGAACCCAGCAAACGACAAUCCGAAUUUUGGCUUUUGACUUUGGGUUUUGGAAGCUUUGAUCCUUCGAUAGUGAUGGUAUAGAUGUAUAUUAUAUAUUAUGUGUGAAAGAUUAAUGUUUAAUUGGUAUUUGGUGGUUGUUAAUAAUAGGUAAUUAUGUAUUGUUGAAUUUCACCCAACCCGAAUAAUCCAAAUUAACUCAAAUCUAACCCAAACUGUAUUUAACCUGCAUCCGAUCCGAUUCGAAUUUAACCCAAUUUUUUUAUCCGAUCUGAAUAUCGGGUUAUAGGUUCGGGUUGAGUUUGGAUGAAUUUUCAUCCAAUCCGAUCAACCCAAAACCCGAUCGGGUUGAUCCGAACCCGAUUUUGCCCACCCCUAAUUGUAACUAAAGGUAUUUUAGUAACUUGUAAUAACUCAUUUUGAUUACAAGACAAAGUAAACAUAUCAAUGGAAAUAAAAUGCAUUUAAAUUCCAAUUCCUAUAAUUCAAAUAAAUAACUUAUUAUAAUACUCAAUUUUUAUUCUAAUUUCAGUCGAUUCAUAUUCCAAUCUGUUUCGAUCCUGGGGAAGUGACCGUACCAUAGAAAGUAUAAAAACAUGCACUUAUGGAGUGUUUAGUGGUAUUACUAAUUCAUGGGAUUGGAUUAUUUCAGGUCUUAUUUCGGUCCAAUCUAAUGUUUAGACAAUAAUAGGAUAGGAUAAAAAUAAAAAUUAUUUAUGGUGGAUCCUAUCUUGGACCCUUCAUAAAGUGCCCAAAUAAUGCCUCAACUUGUGCCAUGGGAGUAUAAAGUAAUUGUAUUAAAGUUAUUCAAUCUAAUUAUAACUUAGAUUAUCUAAUUAUCAAAAAAAAAUUUAAUAAAUAA
rnacentral:lncRNA from 1 species